UACUGCUGUCCUUUAUCAUACCAAAUCACAAUGUCCUACUGCAGUACUUUAUCAUACCAAAUCACAAUGUCCUACUGCAGUCCUUUAUCAUACCAAAUCACAAUGUCCUACUGCUGUCCUUUAUCAUACCAAAUCACCAUGUCCUACUGCAGCCCUUUAUCAUACCAAAUCACAAUGUCCAACUGCAGUCCUUUAUCAUACCAAAUCACAAUGUCCUACUGCAGCCCUUUAUCAUACCAAAUCACAAUGUCCAACUGCAGUCCUUUAUCAUACCAAAUCACAAUGUCCUACUGCAGUCCUUUAUCAUACCAAAUCACAAUGUCCUACUGCUGUCCUUUAUCAUACCAAAUCACAAUGUCCUACUGCAGCCCUUUAUCAUACCAAAUCACCAUGUUCUACUGCAGUCCUUUAUCAUACCAAAUAACAAUGUCCUACUGCAGUCCUUUAUCAUACCAAAUCACAAUGUCCUACUGCUGUUCUUUAUCAUACCAAAUCACAAUGUCCUACUGCAGCCCUUUAUCAUACCAAAUCACAAUGUCCUACUGCAGUCCUUUAUCAUACCAAAUCACAAUGUUCUACUGCAGUCCUUUAUCAUACCAAAUCACAAUGUCCUACUGCUGCCCUUUAUCAUACCAAAUCACAAUGUCCUACUGCAGUCCUUUAUCAUACCAAAUCACAAUGUCCUACUGCAGUCCUUUAUCAUACCAAAUCACAAGAACUUGUUCAUGCAAAGCACAAAGCUAUUUGUGUUGGGAUGUGUCCAGCAUAUCACAGCAUCUAAUGUUUCCAAUUACGCCAACAUGGUUUUUACAGAACAGGAUCCCUCCCCUGGGGACAGGGACAUUCAGAAGGGGCCAAAAGGGGCCAUUUCUGGUAUUUAACAGACAGACAGGCAGACAGAAAGGCAGACAAAAAGUGAAAAACACAGAUGGAGAAGAAAUGCACACACACACACACACACACACGCGCGCGCGCACACACACACACACACACACACACGCGCACACAUGCACUCAUACACACACACUCGCAAACACACACACACACACACACACACACACACACACACACACACACAGUAUAUUUUCAGCAAAUAGUACAUUUACAUAAGUAUUCAGAACCUUUACUUAGUACUUUGUUGAAGCACCUUUGGCAGCGAUUACAGCCCCGAGUCUUCUUGGGUAUGACGCUACAAGCUUGCACACCUGUAUUUGGGGAGUUUC
rnacentral:lncRNA from 1 species